AGAACGAACGCUGGCGGCAUGCCUAACACAUGCAAGUCGAACGAGACCUUCGGGUCUAGUGGCGCACGGGUGCGUAACGCGUGGGAAUCUGCCCUUGGGUUCGGGAUAACAGUUGGAAACGACUGCUAAUACCGGAUGAUGACUUCGGUCCAAAGAUUUAUCGCCCAGGGAUGAGCCCGCGUAAGAUUAGCUAGUUGGUGGGGUAAAGGCCUACCAAGGCAACGAUCUUUAGCUGGUCUGAGAGGAUGAUCAGCCACACUGGGACUGAGACACGGCCCAGACUCCUACGGGAGGCAGCAGGUGGGGGAUAUUGGACAAGUGGGCGAAAGCCUGAUCCAGCAAUGCCGCGUGAGUGAUGAAGGUCCUUA
rnacentral:rRNA from 1 species